rnacentral:rRNA from 1 species
GACGAACGCUGGCGGCGUGCUUAACACAUGCAAGUCGAACGGAAAGGCCCUGCUUGCAGGGUACUCGAGUGGCGAACGGGUGAGUAACACGUGGGUGAUCUGCCCUGCACUUCGGGAUAAGCCUGGGAAGCUGGGUCUAAUACCGGAUAGGAGCCAUUUUUAGUGUGAUGGUUGGAAAGUUUUUUCGGUGUAGGAUGAGCUCGCGGCCUAUCAGCUUGUUGGUGGGGUAAUGGCCUACCAAGGCGGCGACGGGUAGCCGGCCUGAGAGGGUGGACGGCCACAUUGGGACUGAGAUACGGCCCAGACUCCUACGGGAGGCAGCAGUGGGGAAUAUUGCACAAUGGGCGCAAGCCUGAUGCAGCGACGCCGCGUGGGGGAGGACGGCCUUCGGGUUGGAAACUCCUUUCGCUAGGGACGAAGCUUUUUGUGACGGUACCUAGAGAAGAAGCACCGGCUAACUACGUG